AGGAGGUUGUCGGUUUGACCCUUGUCACAUGCUGAAGUGUCCGUUAGACACUGAACCCUGAGUUUUUUUCCCAAAGGCAGAAAACUUUGAGUGAUUGUGUGAGAUUCAAUCAUUCAAUCGAUCGAUCAACUGUUUUUUGAUAUAGUGCCAAAUCUAAAGUGUUAGGGUGAUUUUCUUUAGCCAAUCCCAGCAGCCUUUAGGACAGUGGAGCCAUGUAACUCGGAUAUCAUGGAUACGUUGGUGUGAGAUUCCUGGAGCCGGUGGCCUCCACCAACCGUCCUCAACAAGAACCUUGUACACAUUUUUGACAUCACUCAGGUUCACAAAAUAUGUUAUGCUAUGGUAUCCCCUUAUAUGGGCUCUCCAUAUGUUCAGCUAAGGCUCCUUAAAAUAUGUUGUCCUUUGUUCUUACCCUACAUGGACUCCUCUUCAGAUCAACUAAAUGCCAGCAGAAUGCUUGGAAACGUGGACGACUAUAUAUGCUUGAACAGUCUCAGACCAGUCUUUGUUACACUUGUGGCAUGAUGAAGCUAUAAGUCAGAUCUGCAACCAGUAAAUCUUUGUGGACCUUCCAUCCUUUAAAGUGUAAACAUGGACUAGGCGUCCUUACAAAAAGUUAUUUCAAGAUAAACAGUAACAGCAGGUCUCAACUGUACCUUUUGUUGUAUUGUUUACAAAGAACAUUUGGCAAAUGUGGCAAGGAAAACCUGUCUUCCAACAGGUGGACCUUGAGUAGAACCAGUCUCAUGUUGAAUCACCAUCUGCAGCUAUUGAAAUAACCCACUAAACAGCAUCAAUACCAAAUGUAAGAUAUUUGUUUCAACAAGUUUGUGAGGAACUAUAAUCGUUGAUGAAUUACUGGUAGACAACUUUUUUUUUACUUUAUUAAACAUACAAACAACAUCUAAAACCAACAAACACCUUGUAACUGGACACUUCAAGUGCCUUUCCAUAAAUAACAGACUAAUCCUAUAAAAUGUCCAAUGGAAUAACUUAUCUGAAUCAAGUGCUAACCUGAGCUGUGUGAUAAUGACAGCACGCGGCCUAAACACCUUUGCCAAUAAAUCUAGCUCGCCAUCAGUUUGGUCUCCUCGUGUCUGGGGUUGCGGAAAGCAUGGCUUCUGUCCUGCCUUAGUAGUGAGGUGAGGCAGGGUGAGGCAGGGGGUGAGGCUGCCUGGUGUCAGCGUGGUGGAUGAGCUGAAGGUGUGUAAGGCGUGAGGUGAUGGAGUGUGUGAGGUCCGGUCUAUCGCUGUCAUUAAUAACCCCGACAGGCCUGCCAGCACCUUGGAGCCCUGGUCUCAUACAUAACCCUCAGAGCAGCCGCCAGGGCCCCACACUGGCCCCGGAGGAGGCACACACUGACACACACACACACACACACACACACACACAGAGCUCAGCUGACUUGCCUGACUACUGAUGUUAACAUGAUAGAAAGGAGACAUACAUGGUGUGAAGAAUAGUGCCACACCUGGAGUGAAAAAAUGUCUCAGCAGGAAUGCGAGAGGUUGCGGUGUUAGAAAUGUGACAUUCUUACAUAUUUUUCCUCCCCAUCAACGGGCCCAUUCACCCAAGACAGACAAAGGAAUAAAAAAUGUGAAGCAGCAUGGCAGAAGUGUCUGCUCUCGUCUUUGUCACAGGGAAACACUUUCUUUACUCUUGGUGCUCCCUGGGUGAGAGUAACUCUUCAAAAUCAAGAUGCACUGCAUACCUAACAUCCUACGUUAAUUUAGCAUUUGUCUUGCUCCCGUGUCUUGACAGCUAAAUCUUAUUUCAUGCUUCUGCUCUUGAACGUUGCAUUUCAAUACAGGUUUUUGCUGAACUUGAAUGACCCAGCCUUUAGAGUUGUAAACCUUUUAUCCACGGAGGAAAGUAAAAAAUGUAGAUGAGAAGAUGUUUGACAUACAGAGGGAAGAUGGGAGAGGUAUCUUACGGUUCCACCCACUGGUUCUGAGAUAUUUUGCAAUAACCUUAAAAGUUGUCUCUUCAUUCAUUCUCACAUGUUUUUAAUGUGAAAUAGUCUGAAAGAGGGUUAAAAUAACAAAUAUUUUCAAGGGAUGGACCUGCUUUUAAAUUUGAAAAUGGGGCACAUGCUGCAAUGCCUACUCCUGGUCCUUCAAAUGAGAAAAAACAAGAUGGUAGCAGCCAAAAUUCUGAACUUAAAACUCUGCGGUCAUUACUUAAGUUUGUAUAACUAGAGAAGCAAGCGGUCGGCAACAUUAAUCUCUUGACAGGGUGUCUAACUCAGUGUUACGGUGUGUUUGACCCUUACUUCAUUUUAUGCCGGAAUAUCCCUUUAAGGCUUUAGUAGAGGAGCCCAUGAAGAAAUGGGUGAUGUCAGCUACAUCUACAUCCACGUUUUAGGGUUAAAAGCAGACUGACAAGUCAAUAGAGUAAUUUUGGCUCGAAAGAAGCUUUAGAAAAAAUAAAAGUAAACUUAAGAGAAAAACAUUGGCAGUCAAAUAUGAAUUAGUAUUAGAAGAAUGAGCAAUAAUGAUGGAAACUAAUAAGUAAAAUUUAUUUGAUGCUAGUUUUGAUUUUAUAUUAAGCCCUGAAUCCCACAGAGGACCUACACUCACAGGCCUCUUAAUUAGGUACACCUGUUCAAUUACUCGUUACCACAAAUAGCAGCCAAUUGGUUAACAGCCAAUCAGAUGGCAGUAACUCAUUGCAUUAAGGCAUGUAGAUAGUUUUAGAUGACUUGCUGAAGUUCAAACGGUGGCUAUGCCUGUCUCUCCAUGCAUGUGGUAAUCAGUAUUGUGUGUAAAGCAUUACUAUGUAAUGUUACCAUAACGCCACUAUUUGUUCUGUAAUAUGAGACUUUUUCAAAUGUGCUCCAUUGUAUUUUAGUGCUGUAACAAUUACUGAAAUUUUGGAGGCAUUAUUAGAUGUUACUUUACAUGAAACAGCCAUAAGAUUAAUCACCAGACUCAGGGGCAAGGUUAUGCC
rnacentral:lncRNA from 1 species